GUAAAGGAAACAGAGUCUCUGAAGGUGACGUGGCUGGCCUAGUUAUACAGUUAUGGGAGUCAGGCAGAAUUUGAAUCCACAUCUUCUUGACUCUAGAGGCCAGGAUCCGAACAACUGUGUUACAGUUGCCCCUUUGUGGGGCCUCUGCUCUGGACCCCAGCUGCCUGCCUGACUCAGCAACUGUGGGUGGCCUUCCUCCUGUGCGUGGGCAGCAGAGUUGUUGGGAAACUGACCUUCUGAAGAGAGGGGAAGUCCAAAGGAUGCCCAGUGGAGAUGGGUGGCACUGAGACUUGAACUCUGAUCUGUUGGACUCUAGAGGCAGCACUGCACAACUCCUAAUGGAUGGACAGACCAUGGUGAAGCUGAACCUUCUGCCAAAGAAAACUCAUUGAUGCCCGCAAACCAGCCAGCCAGGGAGAAGGCUGCCCUGGAAUGUUGGAGGGGGGUCACCAAGCUGUUUGCGGGCAGGCCAGCAGAGAAAUGUGAGCAGCUACCUUUUUUGGGUAAAGUCUGAAUUCCCUCUGUGAGAAAGGAUCCAGGGAAGGUUACCUUAGAGGCUUGGGCCUCAGUUUCCCCGUGAUCACCACCAUGGUAUUUAUAAGGUAUGAGUAACUUCAGUUAUUGAUUUUCAACAGCUAUUGGUUGGGUGACUGCUGUGUGCCCGGCAUUGAGCUGGGCUGGCCGCUUGGGACACAGCUGACAGAGCUGACGCCUGUGCUUGGGGAGGACUUUUCAGCAGAAAGCAGUGUCUCAGUAAUUCUUCCAGUGAACAAAAGGCAGGUGCCCCAGGCCCACAACCCUGAUCAACACUCUUGGGACUGGUCAAGUUACAGAUCUCA